GACGAACCGAGCGAACGGUGGUCGGAAUCACUGGGCUUAAAGGGCGGGUAGGCGGGUGAUCAAGUCCGGGGUGAAAUCCUACAGCUCAACUGGAGAACUGCCUCGGAUACUGGUUGUCUCGAGGAAGGUAGGGGUGUGUGGAACGUUCAGUGGAGCGGUGAAAUGCAUUGAUAUUGAACGGAACUCCGGCGGCGAAGGCGACCCACUGGACCUUUUCUGAAGCUGAGGCGCGAAAGCUAGGGGAGCAAACGGG
rnacentral:rRNA from 1 species